rnacentral:lncRNA from 9 species
AAUCAGGAAGGGAGGCCGGCUGGUGACAGGAGAGCCCGGAGGCCCGUGGGGCUGCGUGGACAGCCCGGAAGAUCACAGCCAUGCCUCACAGCUCCGACAGCAGCGACUCCAGCUUCAGCCGCUCUCCACCCCCCAGCAAACAGGUAGGGUCCUGCCUCCCGCUCCUCCUCCCCUCCGAUUCUCCCCGGAGGACAGAGGGAGAGGCGAGGGGAUGGCUGGUGGCAGGAGCACUCUCUGAGACUUAAGACACGGAGAUCUGCCCUGAAGCUGUGCAUCUCAUCUCGGCAGAGACCCUCGUCCUUCUGCCUCUCCUGCCAAAUGAUGCCCCCCCUCCCCGCCCCGUUCCCCCGCCAAAGCCCAUCGCCUCCACCUCGCUAGCUUCCCAGCCCAUGAAGCUUUCUAGGAAGCCAGGAGGAAGAGAAUGAGCGCCAAAGACCUGGCCUCUCAGAAGAGUCUACCUCUCUCCAAGGCAGUAGCAGAGUGAGAGGAGGAGCGUUAAACGCGGGCUGCGGGGCGCGCACACCGCGAAUGCUAGAUGGUUGCCUGGGAGACAGCCUGCAGGGUGAGAGAGGAAGGGAUCGGGAAAAGGAACAAGAAAGAAAAGCGAUUCCCACCCCUCCUCCCCUCCACCUCCAGGAGGAGGGCGGCCCCCCGAACCAGCACAGAAGGAUCUAUCUUUUCCACCCUGCACGGCACCUGUUGCUAGCGCAGGCGGCAGAGAGGGCGCCAGGGGAGGGGGAGGAAAUGAAUCAAGAGAUGCUUCAGGGCACUUGGAGCCGUUCCCUGGUAGCUCAGCUCAGCUCUGGGGAAAGCAGAGAGAUGAAGGUGGAGAUUCCGGGAGCGUCUGGAGUCUAGAUGGCAACUUCUAACUCAGAAGUUUUCAGCUUGGAAUUUGCCAAAGAACCAGGGCGUCCUGGCUUCCCGGUUGCUCCUGGGGCUUUCUGUUCACCACAUUCCUUGACAGUCCUCCCUAGAGGAAGCCCUCUUCUUUCCCAUCCAAUACAUCAGUGGAGUAUAAUUUCUUCUCUGACUUUGUGGUUUGAAAACUGCAUUCUUUCCUUAGCACAGAUAUCCAAGAGAGCUUUCAAAAUGCUGCAGCCUGAAUAAAAGUAUAUGAACAUAUACUGCAGCUUCUGUCAUCAAUAUCUUGAGAAGCCACCUGCAGGAAGGAGUCCUAGUGGAGACCUCUAGAGGACAAGCGAUCCAGUCCUCUGCUCUAGAUGCUAUCAGAGCUGUUCAGACUGCCUGGAAGUCUAUGCUCUUCUUAGGAAGGAAAUUACUCAUGGCUUCCAUGGUAACCUGGUUCCCCAUCCCCCUUAGAGGAAGAGCACUUCCUUCCUAUCUACCCAAUGCCCUCCAACUGCAAUGGCCUGGAAGUACUGGGCCUAUUGGUGAGACAUAUGCUUGGUGGGCAGAGUCUUGCCCUAGCAGUGCCGCUCUGGUCUUGGGGAACGUGAGCGGGGAUGGGGCAGGAGGUGCAGAAGUUUCACACAGACCCCUACACUUAUCCUGCAGCAUCUGGGAGAAAGCCAGAGCUAACCUCUCUGCCCAAGCAAAGCACAUGCCCCUCUAUGGGGUGCACUUAGAAAACACCCAAAGGUCCCCUUGUCCUCCUAAACACCCAUCCGCUACCUGCCACGGCCAGGUAAUCUCCACCAGCAAAGCUGUUCAUGGCCUCCAGUUUGUACCAGGCACUGUGCUCAGCGCCAUGGGCGAUAUCGGGGUCCCUGGACAUAAUGGAGGGGAUUCGGAGAAAGAAGAGGCAGAUCUAGGAUGGGGACCUCAGCCCAGGGAUGCAGCAGAAGACACAUGAUGUACAAAUCAGCGAGAUGGUGGUAGCUGGAGUUGCGGGGGGUGGCUUGGACAGGCCUCAGACUCAGCAUUGGAGGCUCUAACUACCAGAUGACUGUGAACUCUUGGGCAAGCUCUUUGAGCCUCAGUCUCCGGCACAUAUAAGAUGGAAAUAAUCAUAUCAACUUCACAGAAUUGGGGGAUUGAACAAGAGCACCUUUGAGCAAACACACUUGCCCUGAAGCUGGCACAUAGACUCAUCCGAUGAUGUGAGAAAAGUUCAGAGAAGGGAGAAAAAUCGCAUUGCUGCCCAGAAAAGCCGGCAGAGGCAGACACAGAAAGCUGACACCCUCCAUCUGGUGAGUGCUCAGACCUCUCUUCCCCCUCCUGAACUGCAGGCUUUAUUCCCACCACCUGUGAAUGCCUGGACCAUAGCUUUGAGUCUGCCUGUGUGGGGAUGUAUAUGCGGAGCAGUAAAUGGAGGGGUGAGGGCUACGGGUGAGUAGGGGAGUGGAGGCUCUCCUGGGAGCUUUCAGGAAGCUGAAAGAGGAAUAAAUGAGCCCCAAGCAGUAAAGGAGUGAAGGCUGGGCAGCCCAGAGGCUGGUGGAAGGCAGAUCCACCUGCUCAGAGAUGGGGUAGCUGGAGGGAGCUCUAUCCCUCAGGAACUAGAGAGCAGAAGGUGGGGUUGCCUUUGGAAGGAGGCUGUGCUUUGGGGGAGCCCAUGAUUCCACAGUGUCAGGACCAUUUAUAGUCCCAUCUCUCGAGAGGCCAGCUGGACAGCCACCCUGGGGUCUGCACUUGGGACAAGGACGUUCACAGGGUGAGGCAGCUUGUACCUCUUUUCUGAACAUGACUAAGGUUUUAUUUGGAAUUUCUAUCUUUAAUGAUAUCCCAAGGGGUCUGUGAAAGAUGUAGUUGCAAGUGUGCGUAUCUGGGAUGGUCACCAUCCUGGCUGAGUCGCCUUCAACCUCACACUUUCUAGAAAAGGCCCUGACUCCUGGCUUGAGCAGGGGCCUUGGCUGAUCUGAAGUGCAUGUCUACCCACAGCCCAAGAUCCUGGUCAGUGUUUCUAAAUUCUGGCUGUGUGCUUCAUAAAGAAAAUCUUCUUCCUCACCCCCCCCCCCACAUCUUACCACCCUGCCUCUCCUCCCUCUGCCCUUUAAAUUGCUCCUUGUUCAGCCAACUCUUAUUUCACUGGUUCCUUCCUCUUCCGUCCCCUCAACCCUUCCUCUAGCAACUCUGCCUUCCUGUCCUUCCUCCUGAACCAUUCCCAAACCUCUGGCAUCCCCAUAGUUCAUUUCAAUGGUAAAAAGGGCAUUUGGCACCAAAAAUAAAUGUCUAUUUGAAAGAUUAGCCUCAUCACUGGGCAGCUAGAGUAGUUCUUUUAAUCAUAUCAAGAAAAAGUAAGAUGUAUUUUUAGGAAAAAAGAUGCUGCUUUUAGCGUUGCAAGAAAGUAGAGAGCAGGCUGCACUGAGGUCUCUGAUCGGGUGUUGGUAUUUUGCUUGAAAUGUAUUCAAUAUAACUUCCCGUUGCAUACUAACAUGGUUCUACUUAAAUAUUUGUUGAGUUGAAAGAAAGAGUGAAUGAGCACCAAGACUGUUCCUCUUUUUGAUAACAGUGAUUAGCAAUCUGAAGGUUAAGUUUUGGUGGCUCUGCUGCUCACACAUUCUCCAUGAUUUCAUUAUGGCUGAGGGCUCACAACACUCCAGCUUACUAUUUUAAGCUUGAAUAUCUAUGAUCACGCCCUUUGUCUCCAUCAGAGUUUGAUUCUAAUUCAAUAUGCUUUAGAGCAAGCAAAUGAAGAAAGAAAUAAAAAUUCAAAAGGAUGAAAACCUACCUACAAGUAAACAAUGUCUUGAGACUGGAAAACUGCUAUAAGCUUUAUCAGUUUGUAAUAUUAAAAAAAAAAAAGUCGAGCUCAGCAGUGAUACGGUCAGAGGGACAUGGUUUGAAUCCCAGCUCUGCCAUUUGCUACCUGGGUAACCAAUCUUAGAGAUGUUCUUUACCUCUCUUAGACCCGGUUCCUUAUUGGGAAGAUGGGACAGUAGCUACCUCAUAGAGAUAGUGUGUAUAAAGAGCUCAAGCAUCAGCCCCUGGCAUAUAAUAAAUAUUCAAAAAGUUUAAGUGUAAUAAGAGUAACUUUAAUAAUAGUUCCCAUAAAGAGCAAGAUAACCACCACUAAGAUUUUAUGUAUAUGAAUUUCUAUUUAUGUAUAAAUCAUAGAAUCUCAGGGAUGAAAGAUUUCUUAAAGGCUGGAAAGUUCAGACACAGUUUUGAUGCCUGAGACUCUUUACAGCAGCCUCCAGAAAUGGUUCCUAGUGCCUGCCUGUCACUGCUCAUGAUGAAGAGUUCCCUCCCUCCUCCCAGGAGCAGAGGAAUUUUCCUUCUCUCAAGCUGAGCCACUGUCUUCCUGGAAAUUCAACCCCCUGGUCUUCCUUCAACCCCUUGGGGACAUGUCAGUGAGUGUGACAUAGGUCUCUUUGCUGUGGCAAUGUUUUCAACACUGAUCUCUCUUUGCAAGGCAAGAGUUAGCACCAGAAGCUUUAGCCCAUCUGAUUAUACUAGUCAUGGCUAUAAGGGAAUAAUCUCUGGGGUUGGGGGUCUAUGAAGUCCCCAGUCAUGUAGUCACUGUGUCCACACCCAAACCCCAGCCUCAGUCUCUAGAAUGUUCUCAUCUUUCCCACACCUGGACAUAAACUCCUCCCCCUCCUUCCUUUUGCACACCAUGGCACUCACCUUCACUUGUUGCCCAAUAAGUAGGACAUCUCAGAGUUUACACAGCAAGCCUAGGGGUUGCAACCAAUGCAAUGUAUAUUUCUUGACUUCAGGUAGAAGCUUCUGGCAGAAACAUAUAAAUAUGUCACCAUCAAACAGAGGGUUUCGCUGUGAUCUGAAAUGUUCAUUUCCUCUCAGAUGGUGAUCACCGAUCUUCUACAUCCAUCAUCCUCUUAAAUGUGUUUGUGAUUCAGGUAGAAAAUCUUCUGCUUUGCCUUAAGCCUUCUUAGGGUUGGGUACCUGGUUGCCCUUGAUUCCUUUCCAUGCUCAUCUCUACAUGCUGAGGCUCUGGAACCAUCCUCUGGCCCUCAGAUACAGCAAUAGGACUCAUCUACCAAGACGUUAAAGACCAGGGUUUAGAAAUUACUGAGAGUACAGUACCAAAUAAGGACCAGGUUUGUACUAGUGUGCUAGCCUCAUAUAUGCUGGGGUACAAUUGUUUUCUCGGUUUCAUCUUUGUUAUUAUUACUUCUCUUAAAAUACCGAAAGAAUUAUCCUAUUUCUCUAGUGAGAGUGUGGGAUACUUACUAUUUAAGAUUUUCGGUACCUAUUCUAUAAGUGGUUUACACCAGAAGACUGUAUAUUGAUUGCUUUUAAAAUAGCAGAGUAGGUAAGUUGCUGCUUUCAACACUGGGCUUUGCUUCAUGCCAAAGUUGUAAUAUCUCCGCCUUGACUCCCCCUCACAUAAACCUGAUCAGGUGCUUCUUUUCAUAAUUGGGAUAUCAACAAGGCCCACAUUCUGUUAACUCUCUUUGGGUUGGGUAUCUCACAUUGCACUCAUCUCACUUUUCUCAUUUCCUUUUCUCCCAGUCAACUACAGAGUCCGUUAAGCAUAGUAAAGGCAUCGAUUAAAAAGGAGAAAAUCAUAUCUUGACCAGUUCACUCUUAAAAGAUAUUAGUCGCUAAUAAAUGGAUCCAAGAUAAUGAGCUGAAAAACUAUUAAAAAUAAUAAUCCAGUCAGCUUUUAAAGUUAACACAAAAAGUAAUAACUUUUCAUGUGCACAAUUAGAUUAGAAAAUUUAAGAGAAGGAAAGAUUCUGUUUAUAAUGCCAACAAGAGUACAUGGAAAGAAGGAAUAAAUUUAAGAAAAAAUGUGCAGGGUUUAGUUUUUUUAAGCUUCAAAAUUAUUUUAAGUGAUUAAAAAACACUCGAAUAAAUGGAAAGAUAUACCUUAUGUUAGGAUAGAAAUUUUCCUUAAAUUAAUCUAGAAGUUUACUAGUGUGAUCUCAAUAAAAUAGGAUUUUCUGGGUAUUGGAGGAAAACUAGAUUAGCUAUUCUAAGUAUUUGAUGAAAAACAACCAUGUGAGAGUUUCCGGGAAAAUUCUAAAGAAGGAGGGUAAUUAGAAAAGAUUAUCUGAAUAAGAUAUUAAGGUGAAUUGCAGAUAUGGAAAUCAAAACAAUGUGGGAGAGAUGGAACAUCAGACAGAAUACAGAAAUAGACCCCCGAAUAGGCUUAAAUUUAAAACCCAAAUAUAUAC